rnacentral:rRNA from 1 species
GUGCCAGCCGCCGCGGUAAUACCGGCAGCACGAGUGAUGACCGCUAUUAUUGGGCCUAAAGCGUCCGUAGCCUGCCGCGCAAGUCUGUCGGGAAAUCUCUCUGCUUAACAGAGAGGNGUCCGGCGGAAACUGUGUGGCUUGGGACCGGAAGAUCCAGAGGGUACGUCCGGNGUAGGAGUGAAAUCCUAUAAUCCUGGACGGACCACCGGUGGCNAAGCGCUCUGGAAAGACGGAUCCGACGGUGAGGGACGAAAGCUCGGGUCACGAACCGGAUUAGAUACCCGGGUAGUCC